UACAGAGGUCUCAAGCGUUGUUCGGAAUUACUGGGCGUAAAGGGCGCGUAGGCGGCACGGCAAGUCAGGAGUGAAAGGCCUGGGCUCAACCGAGGAACUGCUUUUGAGACUGCCGAGCUAGAGUGCAGAAGGGGCAACUGGAAUUCCCAGUGUAGCGGUGAAAUGCGUAGAUAUUGGGAAGAACACCUGAGGCGAAGGCGGGUUGCUGGGCUGACACUGACGCUGAGGCGCGAAAGCCAGGGGAGCAAACGGG
rnacentral:rRNA from 1 species